GCUGCGUAGAUACAUGACAAACACCAGUGGCGAAGGCGGCUCUCUGGUCUGCCACUGACGUUGAGGCUCGAAAGCAUGGUGAGCGAACAGGAUUAGAUACCCUGGUAGUCCAUGCCCCUUAUGACUUGGGCUAAAAAUCAUCAUGCCCCUUAUGACUUGGGCUAAAGCUAACGCAUUAAGCACUCCGCCUGGGGAGUACGACCGCAAGGUUGAAACUCAAAGGAAUUGACGGGGGCCCGCACAAGCGGUGGAGCAUGUGGUUUAAUUCGAAGCAACGCGAAGAACCUUACCAGGUCUUGACAUCUCGUGAAAACUUUAAAAAUAAGGCGUUCCCUUCGGGGACGCAAAGACAGGGGGUGCAUGGGUGUCGCCAGCUCGUGUCGUGAGAUGUUGGGUUAAGUCCCGCAACGAGCGCAACCCUUGUUAUUAGUUGCCAGCAUUAAGUUGGGCACUCUAAAGAGACUGCCGGUGACAAACCGGAGGAAGGUGGGGAUGACAUCAAAUCAUCAUGCCCCUUAUGACUUGGGGCU
rnacentral:rRNA from 1 species